UGGGGAAUAUUGCGCAAUGGGCGAAAGCCUGACGCAGCAACGCCGCGUGAGUGAUGAAGGCCUUCGGGUCGUAAAGCUCUGUCGGAGGGAACGAAUGCUCUUGAGGUUAAUAGCCUCGGGAGGUGACGGUACCCUCAAAGGAAGCACCGGCUAACUCUGUGCCAGCAGCCGCGGUAAUACGUAGGGACCAAGCGUUGUUCGGAUUUUACUGGGCGUAAAGGGCGCGUAGGCGGCAUGACAAGUCACUUGUGAAAUCUCUGGGCUUAACCCAGAACGGCCAAGUGAUACUGUCGCGCUAGAGUGCAGAAGGGGCAAUCGGAAUUCUUGGUGUAGCGGUGAAAUGCGUAGAUAUCAAGAGGAACACCUGAGGUGAAGACGGGUUGCUGGGCUGACACUGACGCUGAGGCGCGAAAGCCAGGGGAGCAAACGGGAUUAGAUACCCAUGUAGUCCCUGAGCGGGCUGGCAAGGCGCAU
rnacentral:rRNA from 1 species